AUUGAACGCUGGCGGCAUGCUUUACACAUGCAAGUCGGACGGCAGCACAGAGAAGCUUGCUUCUUGGGUGGCGAGUGGCGAACGGGUGAGUAAUAUAUCGGAACGUACCGAGUAAUGGGGGAUAACUAAUCGAAAGAUUAGCUAAUACCGCAUAUUCUCUGAGGAGGAAAGCAGGGGACCUUCGGGCCUUGCGUUAUUCG
rnacentral:rRNA from 1 species